GUCUACAGCCUUGCCACCCUGAACAAGCCCAAUGUCUGAUCUCAGAAGCUAAGCAAGGUCGGGCCUGGUUAGUAGUUGGAUGGGAGACCCCCUAGGAAGGCCAGGUGCUGCAGGCA
rnacentral:rRNA from 1 species